rnacentral:tRNA from 26 species
GGGCGGUUGGCGCAGAGGUAGCGCACUUCCCUGACACGGAAGGGGUCACAAGUUCGAAUCUUGUAUCGCCCACCA